rnacentral:lncRNA from 1 species
GUUUUUAUGUGCUUUUUGGAUGCUUCAAAAGCAUUUGACAGGGUUAAUCAUAGAAAACUAUUCUUGAAAUUAGCCCAAAAAGGUGUACCCAGUUAUGUUGUGCGUUUGUUAGUAUACUGGUACUCACAGCAAACAGUGCAAAUAAAAUGGGGGAACAGUGUAUCUACCCUUUUAAAGUGAGCAAUGGGGUCCGACAAGGGGGUGUUUUGUCCCCAGUGUUAUUUAACCUGUAUCUAGAUGAACUGUCUACUAAACUCAAAGCCUGUCACACUGGCUGUGUCUCUGGAAGAACUGUUAUGAAUCAUUUUUUGUACGCAGAUGAUUUAGUCGUGUUUAGUCCCAGUACGGCUGGUCUACAGCAGCUCCUCAAUAUCUGCUCAACCUAUGGUCUGGAACAUGACAUUAAGUACAAUAGUUCGAAGAGUGUGGUUAUGAUUUGUAAAACCAAGGACGAUAAGAACUUGACAUUUCCAAACUUUUGUCUGUGUAAUGAUGUUUUGCACGUUGUCACCAAAAUCAAGUACCUUGGGCACAUCAUCACUGAGGACUUGUCUGAUGAUGAUGACAUUUAUAGACAAUGCAGAGUGUUGUAUGCCCAGGCUAAUACCCUGGCACGGAAGUUUGGCUGUUGUACAGAGAGAGUGAAGCUGACUUUAUUUAAAGCGUACUGUACUCCCUUGUACACAGCUCAUCUCUGGUCUCAUUAUAAGAAAGCCAGCAUGCGUAGGCUCCAGGUGGCCUAUAAUGAUGCUUUGCGUGUGCUUUUGAAGAAGCCGAGAUGGUCAAGUGCCACAGAAAUGUUUGUCAAUGCCAGAGUAAACACUUUACAGGCCGUGCUUCGAACUUUGAUGUACAGCUUUAUGUGUCGAUUGAACAUGUCUGAAAAUUAAAUAAUAGUGUCCCUCACGAAUAUAAAAUGGAGUGCGACACGUUAUCAAUCUGACUUGUGGAGACAUUGGCAUGAUUGUCUUUUUAAAAUGCCAUCCUAAUUGUAUGUCUUGUCCUUUAUUUUUAUUUUUAUGGACUACGAGUCCGGAAUAAAGUUGAAUUGAAUUGAAUGGGUCGUGUUGACUAUGUAAUACUUAUUAUAACUAAAU